GACAGAGGUGCCGAGCGUUAGGCGGAAUCACUGGGCUUAAAGCGUGUGUAGGUGGAUGUCUAAGUACCUUGUGAAAUCCCACGGAUUAACCGUGGAACUGCUCGGUAUACUGGAUGUCUUGAGCCAGCUAGGGGCUACCGGAACAAAUGGUGGAGCGGUGAAAUGCGUAGAUAUCAUUUGGAACGCCAAUGGUGAAAACAGGUAGCUGGGGCUGUGCUGACACUGAGACACGAAAGCCAGGGGAGCGAACGGG
rnacentral:rRNA from 1 species